GAGCCAAGACAGCAGAACAGCAUGGAAGUUUUUUCUGUGUCUGGUGUCCAUGAGAUACCACCAGACCAACAAUAAACCAUCUUGCACACCUAGAAAACUGAUCUGAGGAAUAACACAACAAUCUGCACAACCUGAACCACGGAAUCAGCAGGCCCUGGGGGCGGUGACCGCUUCUCACCUUUGCUGAACUCUGGAUGUCUUACCAUACCUUGUUUGUUCCCUUGACCCUGCUGGAAACUCGAACAGUACCUUUGUUAAAAUGCUUGCAUUUUAACCACCUGGGAAGACACAAGAAGACAUUGUGAAAAAUCAAAAACAAUUCAUUUUUGUUUUUGUUUAGUUUAUAGAACUUCUUUGCUGUGGGUGAAAAGAUCGAUAAGGUGACCUUCUCCAUGUCCCAGCCUAUUUGCACUAUCUGAGCACGUGUGGUGGACAACUUCUUGAUGAAAAGAGAUCACGACUGACAUACACGGGGGGAAUUGCUCGUGCGCCAAAGAUCUUACGAUUCCUUGAAUGGUAUCAAUUGUGUUUUAUGAUUUCCUUGUUCAUCUACUUAGUUAAUUUCGAUUGAGUGGUGCUCUGCCCCAAGAAUUGUGCCAGGUAAUGGGGAUACAUUACAUGCUUCAGUAGACAGGGCAAACCUGAGAUGGGGUAAAUUCUAACGGAAGCAGAGAGUGCUAUGCGGUACCCAGGAGGGUUAUCCACCCAAAUCCUGUACUGUAAGAUAUGGUUUCCCAAAGGAAGUAACAUCUAAUCUGAAACCUGAACUCUAUGUACUAGUGAGCCAGAUUAUGGACAACAGCCGGUGGGAGGGAAUGAGUCUUAGUUUUAAGGUAUUCUGGGCAGAAAGAAAAACAACUUGGGCAAAGACCAGCAGGGGAUAAAAAGCAUUUGGAAAAUUAGAAGCAUACCUCUUGGGUUAAUGUAUGGACUGCAGGAGAGGAGGAGAGUUGGGGCAGGAGAGGAAUGCAGAGGUCAGAUCACAAAAGGUCUUAUAAGUAAGUUUAAGGAUAUGAGUGCUAUUAUGAGGUCAGUGAAAAGCUGUUAAAUCUUGUAAAGUGGGUGGUGUCUAGCAAAAUGAUAUUUGCAUUUAAGAAAGAUUUACCCUGAGGAUGAACUUGAGAUAAGUAAGGGAGAUAUCUUAGUAGGUUCUCUGGAGUAACCCAGGCCAGAGAUGAUGAGCUGGGUUUGAGACAGUGAGGCUGGACAGAGUGGCUGCAGCAGAAAGGAUGGCUCACGCGGGCCACCUGCUGUCAUUAUAGGCAGCAGUUAGGCAACUGCUGUCAUUAUAGGACAGCCCUGCAAAAUGCAAACUGUCCUUUCCUUGUUGGCCUUUAACCAGAGUGUGAACGCCCUGCAGGCAGGGAAUAUUUUGUGUCCAUCUCUGUGUCUCUAGGACCUCAGCGGUGCUCAGGGAAUGAAUGUUCUUGAAUAAGUGGAUCUCGGCAACAUCGUAUUUUUUGAUACAAUGGUUACCCUCAUGACUUCCAGACCCAACACUUGUUAGGAGAGUUCUAUAAUGAUUGUGAAGUCAAUGUCUAGGGCUGUUCCAGAGGCACAUGAAGGCGUGGGUGCUUUAACUCAGUUCUCUGUGCAUAUUGAAACGUGCAGGCUGUUUUUCCCUGACUCAGUUCUCUUGUGCCAUCUGCCGGGAUGAGCAUUUCACAGCACACCAAAGUGAGAUGGCCAGUGAAGAAGACAAGCCGGAAAGCUCCGUGGGAGAAGUAGCAGACAAAACCCUGGACAGCCUUACAAUUUAGCCGGAGAAACAAGUCUUGUGCCCACGCAGCAAUCCCUGUGCGGUGAACCUUCCCAAGAUGUCCUGGGGUGUUUUCCCCAGACAAAUAUCCCUUUCUACCGGUUUGCGUGCAGACGAUCUUAACUUUCUGCAUUCUUCUUCAGCGUUUGCGACAACUUUACCAUACGAGACGUUAGUAUUAUUACAGGCUUUGAAAUGGGGAAAGAGAAGCAUGGAGAUUGAAAUAAAAUGCCAGCUCUGAGCUGGCCGGGUGGCCGGUCAGAAUAACUUUAAACAAGGAGCCGAGUCAGAACUGAAGCCUGUUUUACUCCCAGGUGCACACUGGACUCACAAAACAUCCCAGACAAAGUAAGACGGAGGUCAAGAGGGGGCAGAGUUUCCUCAACUGAUGAAAAGAAAUGCAUACCUUCUAAGUCGUGCUGUGAAGAGUAAAUAAGCUAAGGUAUACAUAGCGCUUCACAUUCCUGAAUCAAAGAGGAUACAUAACAAAAGAGGUACUCCAAGAUUCCUGGAUACUAUCGUCUUCAGCAGAGAAAACCCGGAAAACCAUGGUGUUCAGGAUUUUUGACUGUCGUUGCUGGUCCUGCCACAUGGUGUCGCUGUUGAGACAGACAACCUUGCCCCGCUUGCCAUCCUCCUGGCCCCAGCCCAGCGACCUUAGGGGAAAGAGGCAGGCACCUGUGUGGAACUAUGGAACGCAGUGAUCUGAGAACAGCUGCUGUACCCUAUUUCAGCAUCCUGGAGAUAUCACCUCUAUUUAGGUACCUUUGUUGGAAGCAAAGCUGUAGGACUAUCACGUGUGCAAGAGGCAACUUGACCCCCACACAUGCUGCCCGUGGCUGGGGCUCAGUCCUGCUGCCUCGCUUACUUCUCAGAUCUUUCAGAGAUACAUCCGGAAGCUCCUUGAUAGAUAGCUUUUUUGCAUGUGGAUGGUUACCACCAUGCUCAAGUAAUUAGCAUCUUCCCCCUGGCAGUAUUGACUAGCAGGUUCCUGCUACAAAGAUGCCCUUGUAGGAGAGCCGCUGUGACAAAAAGUUGGAAAACCCAUCCUUCUGGGGGCACAUCUCUGCACAGAUGAAUUCCUUGGGCCCAGCUGCCUCUACCCACACUCAUGCAAAUAGGCUGCAACCAGGAGACAGACAGCGCUGAAGAAAUGGUGGAUUCAUAUCAGCAGCUGACUCCUGUCACUACAGCCAGACCUCAGGUCUUUAAAAGUAAAGAGGGUGCCUGCCGUGGGAAGGAUGCUCACGAAGAGAUACCCAACAUACCGUCUAAUCCAGAGAGCAAGUUGCCAGCUUAGAUGUACAAUAUGAGUCCAUUUUCGCUAUUUUUUCUUUUAUACUUUUCUAUUGCCUGAA